CAAGAAUUCAAAAACCGUAAGAGUUUCAAGUCAGCAAACAGUAGAAACUGGCUUGAAAGGAAUUCUGAUGGCAGUCCUAGUAGCUCAGAUAAGCCUGCACCGCAUCAUGGGCAGUUUGUUAAACAGAGGUUCCACAGCUCCCUAGGGCUCCCUUUUGCUCU